rnacentral:ribozyme from 1 species
AUUCUGAAUAGCUCUGUAAUGGGAUGGGAUCCGAAGCCCUCCGAGGGAUAACAUAGGCUCUCC